rnacentral:rRNA from 1 species
AGUGAACGCUGGCGGUAGGCCUAACACAUGCAAGUCGAACGGCAGCACAGUAAGAGCUUGCUCUUACGGGUGGCGAGUGGCGGACGGGUGAGGAAUACAUCGGAAUCUACUUUUUCGUGGGGGAUAACGUAGGGAAACUUACGCUAAUACCGCAUACGACCUACGGGUGAAAGCAGGGGAUCCUCGGACCUUGCGCGAUUGAAUGAGCCGAUGUCGGAUUAGCUAGUUGGCGGGGUAAAGGCCCACCAAGGCGACGAUCCGUAGCUGGUCUGAGAGGAUGAUCAGCCACACUGGAACUGAGACACGGUCCAGACUCCUACGGGAGGCAGCAGUGGGGAAUAUUGGGCAAUGGGCGCAAGCCUGAUCCAGCCAUACCGCGUGGGUGAAGAAGGCCUUCGGGUUGUAAAGCCCUUUUGUUGGGAAAGAAAAGCAGCAGGUUAAUACCCCGCUGUUCUGACGGUACCCAAAGAAUAAGCACCGGCUAACUUCGUG